GGUCUCGUAGCUUAGUGGGUAGAGCGUGCGCAGUACGAAAGCGCAGGCGGCGUUCAUGCGUGGGUUUGAAUCCCGCUGAGGCUA
rnacentral:tRNA from 1 species